rnacentral:rRNA from 1 species
GUCCUAGCUGUAAACGGUGCACGUUUGCUGUAAGAGGAUUCGACCCCUCUUGUGGCGAAGCUAACGCGUUAAACGUGCCGCCUGGGAAGUACGGUCGCAAGAUUAAAACUCAAAGAAAUUGACGGGGCCUGCACAAGCGGUGGAGUAUGUGGCUUAAUUCGAUGCAACGCGAAGAACCUUACCUGGCCUUGACAUGCAAGUAGUAGAAGGGUGAAAGCCUGACGAGGUAGCAAUACCAGCUUGCACAGGUGCUGCAUGGCUGUCGU